rnacentral:lncRNA from 1 species
UCAUGUACGGGGUGAUCUGGAUAUGGUGGAAUGUGUAUAGAGGUUGUGAGUAGGUCAACAUAGAGUCAAUAACUCUUGCUAAGAGGAGAUCACAUCCUACUUGCUCUGAUCAAUUGAUGAUUCAGAAAGUCUUUGAUCAAAGUAGAAUAAAAAUUAGAAAGAGUUUCUAAUAUUUCAUUAAUCGAAACAUCAUUAAAGAUCAAGAGAAAUAUGAAUAUGAUAUUGGAUUCGACAUCAUUCCAUAUCUAGAGUCAUAUUCGGGAUGCAGGG